CAGGCAUGCUGUACAAUCCCCAUUAUAAUAUUAAAAUCUUACGCUGGAGCAUCUUAAAUCGAUGACAAGUCCAUGCUUACCUUAAAUAAGUGUAUACUUUAUGUUAUUGUAUCAAAUUCCAUUUUUAUUUUGGCGCCAAACACUACUGUCAGGUGAAGUAAUGUAUCGUAUAUUAUUUUUGAUAUUAUAUUUGCUUUAAGGUAUGGCUCAAUGCUCCGAAUGCGGAAAAAUGUCGAAGACCAGAGCUGGAUUAUUGCGCCACAUUAGGGGACACGCUAACUCUGGAAACUAUAACUGCUGUGGGAAAGCAUUUCAGGAUGCCUACAAUCUUAGAAGGCUUCAACGAACAAAGGACCCCAAUGUCACGUGUGUGUACAGUGCGGCAGGAGCUUUGCGGACAAGUACCUACUCGUGGCUAGAGAGAAAAGUGCAAAAAAGAGGGAUUGGUGAAAUGUUACCAGUUAGGAGUGAGAAUGACCUCAGAGAGCACGUCAAUACCCACAUGCAUGACAACUGUUACAGUAGUGAGGAGUGUUUCAAAACGUACAAACGCAAAACAAACCUUUCUCGAUACGUGAGGACUUCACAUAAAUCCGUGAAUACUGAUUAAAAAUCAUAAUAGCUUACAGUUUGUUUGUGUAACUUCAUUAUCGUUUUACGUUAUUUUAUUCGUUGUUUUACUUUUACUUUACUUUUCAAAAAGAUACUAAAGUUAUCCGAAUUUGAUUAAUUUUUAGGUUUCGUUUAGUUCGUUUGUGUGUUUGAAAUCAUCUCAAAUAAUUGUGCAAUAAUUUGGAUUUACGUUAUUCAUUAAUAUAUCGCAUCUGUGAUUUGUAUUAUCGAAUAUGUGAUUCUUUUUUAAUUAUAACUUGAUUAAAGUUUUGCGAUG